AACGAACGCUGGCGGCAGGCUUAACACAUGCAAGUCGAACGCCCCGCAAGGGGAGUGGCAGACGGGUGAGUAACGCGUGGGAAUCUACCCAGUUCUACGGAACAACACAGGGAAACUUGUGCUAAUACCGUAUACGCCCUACGGGGGAAAGAUUUAUCGGAAUUGGAUGAGUCCGCGUAAGAUUAGCUAGUUGGUGGGGUAAUGGCCUACCAAGGCGACGAUCUUUAGCUGGUCUGAGAGGAUGAUCAGCCACACUGGGACUGAGACACGGCCCAGACUCCUACGGGAGGCAGCAGUGGGGAAUAUUGGACAAUGGGCGCAAGCCUGAUCCAGCCAUGCCGCGUGAGUGAUGAAGGCCUUAGGGUUGUAAAGCUCUUUCAGUGGGGACGAUAAUGACGGUACCCACAGAAGAAGCCCCGGCUAACUUCGUGCCAGCCGCCGCAGUAACAC
rnacentral:rRNA from 1 species